GGAACUUUGGCACACCUCCACUGUAUAAUCUGAAGUUCAGGGCUGUCAACCGCACGGUGACGUCCGCUAGACGCUAUGAGUCAAGACACAAUACGAGGAAAUCCCCAAGGCCGAGAAAACGCUGAGAGGCCCCUUUAAAUCGACGCUUCCUCAACGCCGUGCCAACAGAGAGAGAGAGAGAAAGAGCGCUGAUAAACAACAACACGGUUCUCAGAAGCGGCUUUUACCGAAUUCAGCUCUUACUGCGGCCUCAAAGAAACGAAGUGGACCUGGAUGAUGAGGACUUGGAUGACAUCAUGAACAACAACGGGCAGUGCCCUGUAUCCCUGUCACCCAUCUCCUAAACUUCACCAAGAAGUGCCAAAAAAGAAAACCCCCGGAUCGCCAAACCCACCCCCAUACCCUCUGACAGCGAUCUUGGCCUUGCUCCUGUCAAGUGUCCUACUGAAGCUUCUUCAAGGCUCAAAAACGGCUCAUUUAUCGCCUGUUGAAGCCCUGACUGUGUAUAUAGCGUUUAUUUAACUUAACUUUGGUCAGACUGUGAAUGAAUUCGUAUUGCAUCGCUCUCUACACUAUACCUCGGUAGGUAGUGGACUAUCAGGAUUUAAGAAAGAUUUGAAGGAAGUGUCUAUAUUUUUUCAGAGCUUCUUAUCAAGGGCUACAUUUUAAAAGUUGCACUGAGCAAACGGUUAGAUGACAAGCAUCCUCUCGCCUGCCUAUUUACUGGUGAGGGUUACUGAUUACCCGUGGGCUGCUUGUGUUGGAACACAAGCCUGUUAAUGUGUAUUGGACAGGUGAAUUGUUAAGCUUUGGUUGUGCAAUGACUAUCAUUCUCUACUCUCUCACUGAUCCAAGUGGUGUACUAUUAUCCAGUGGAUGAAAGCUCGCUAGUUGCUUUAAAAAGAAAAAAAAAAAAAAAGAAAAGGGAAAAAAAAAACUAAUGCUAAUAAUUUAUUAUUUAAAAAAUGAGACACUUUGUUGUGAUGUUACGGCAUCUGUUUGGUUUUGGUUUUUUACUUGUUUCUGAGCAGGUAACGCUUCAGUCUGUGAGAUUUUUAUUAUGUUUCCAAAUGGUGCACUUUGUGGGAAUGCCUGUUAUGUGCAGUGACAUGUUGCAGAAUUCUAUGCAUGAAGCAUCAAAACCUGUGACUGGCAUCCUGUUAUUUAAGGGCUACGUAGUAGACUUUGAUAAACCAAACCACCGUUUUGCUCUUCAGAUCUGGUAGAGUCAGCGUUUCCCUGAGCUCAUUGGUGGCUUUGAGCUGCUGACUCGACAGUAAACAACAAUAGCUUCAUAGAGCUUUCUGUGUGUUUCCUAAUGCAGGCUUUUCCAGUUUGGCUACAUGACUGUGAGGACAAAAAAAACAAAAUGUGUACAGUAAAUGACUUUGAUGAAAUUGCCAAAUGAUUCCUGAUGCUACAUCAGAUUGAUGCUUAAAAAAAUUGACUCUGAUUGGCAUGCCGACGUGUAAAAAGUCAAACUUAAUUGUAUUUAUGUUUAUUUAUAAAAAGCACUAAUCUGCUUUGUGAACUACACCCACGUGGUGUGGUAAUGUCUUUCAGGUUUAGGUGAACUAUUGUGUCAGACUUUAUAAUUACAGUGUGAGGUCACAGAAACGAGCACCCUCGCUGCAGAGACAAUCUUUGGAUUUUUUUUUAAGACGGCAGUGGCUCUCUCGGGUUGAGAUGGUGUUGUCUAUAAAAGGCGGCUCAUGUUGAUGUCAUGUUCCUUUUUUUUGCUGGCUGUGAAAUUGUUACUUAAUUUGUUGGCGUCACGGGAGCACUGCACCUCACAGCUUACUCUCUGACUCAAAGAUAGUUGUUUUGAUCUUUGCAUGGAAAUAACUUUUCAUAAAGCAUCCUGGGAAAUAAAACAUGAAUCUUUGUGGAA
ensembl:lncRNA